AUUGAACGCUGGCGGCAUGCCUUACACAUGCAAGUCGAACGGUAACAGGUCUUCGGAUGCUGACGAGUGGCGGACGGGUGAGUAAUACAUCGGAACGUGCCCGAUCGUGGGGGAUAACGAGGCGAAAGCUUUGCUAAUACCGCAUACGAUCUACGGACGAAAGCGGGGGAGCUUCGGACCUCGCUCGGACGGAGCGGCCGAGGGCAGAGUAGGUAGUGGGUGGGAUAAAAGUUUACGAAGCCGACGAUCUGUAGCUGGUCUGAGAGAAUGAUCAUCCACACUGGGACUGAGACACGGCCCAGGCUCCUACGGUAGGGAGCAGUGGGGAAUUUUAGACAAUGGGCGAAAGCCUGAUCCAGCCAUGCCGCGUGCAGGAUGGAGGCCUUGGGGUUGUAAAGUGCUUUUGUACGGAACGAAAAGCCUCUUUCUAAUACAGAGGGGUCAUGACGGUACCGUAAGAAUAAGCACCGGCUAACUACGUG
rnacentral:rRNA from 1 species